AGUGAACGCUGGCGGUAGGCCUAACACAUGCAAGUCGAACGGCAGCACAGUAAGAGCUUGCUCUUACGGGUGGCGAGUGGCGGACGGGUGAGGAAUACAUCGGAAUCUACUUUUUCGUGGGGGAUAACGUAGGGAAACUUACGCUAAUACCGCAUACUACCUACGGGUGAAAGCAUGGGAUCUUCGGACCUUGCGCGAUUGAAUGAGCCGAUGUCGGAUUAGCUAGUUGGCGGGGUAAAGGCCCACCAAGGCGACGAUCCGUAGCUGGUCUGAGAGGAUGAUCAGCCACACUGGAACUGAGACACGGUCCAGACUCCUACGGGAGGCAGCAGUGGGGAAUAUUGGACAAUGGGCGCAAGCCUGAUCCAGCCAUACCGCGUGGGUGAAGAAGGCCUUCGGGUUGUAAAGCCCUUUUGUUGGGAAAGAAAAGCAGCAGGUGAAUACCCCGCUGUUCUGACGGUACCCAAAGAAUAAGCACCGGCUAACUUCGUG
rnacentral:rRNA from 1 species